GACGAACGCUGGCGGCGUGCUUAACACAUGCAAGUCGAACGGAAAGGCCUGCUUUCCCUUGUGGAUUGCGGGUACUCGAGUGGCGAACGGGUGAGUAACACGUGAGUGAUCUGCCCCCAACUUGGGUAUAAGCCUGGGAAACUGGGUCUAAUUCCCGAUAGGACUGCAGGGUGGUGCCUGUGGUGGAAAACGAUUUUCUAGUGGUUGGGGAUGAGCUCGCGGCCUAUCAGCUUGUUGGUGGGGUAAUGGCCUACCAAGGCGGCGACGGGUAGCCGGCCUGGGAGGGUGGACGGCCACAUUGGGACUGAGAUACGGCCCCGACUCCUACGGGAGGCAGCAGUGGGGAAUAGUGGACAAUGGGCGGAAGCCUGAUGCAGCGACGCAGCGUGGGGGAUGACGGGCUUCGGGUUGUAAACUCCUUUCGACCGCGAGGAAGCCACCUGGUUGGAAGGGUGGUGACGGUAGUGGUAGAAGAAGCACCGGCUAACUACGUG
rnacentral:rRNA from 1 species